AUUGAACGCUGGCGGCAGGCUUAACACAUGCAAGUCGAGCGGAGAUGAGGUGCUUGCACCUUAUCUUAGCGGCGGACGGGUGAGUAAUGCUUAGGAAUCUGCCUAUUAGUGGGGGACAACAUUCCGAAAGGAAUGCUAAUACCGCAUACGCCCUACGGGGGAAAGCAGGGGAUCUUCGGACCUUGCGCUAAUAGAUGAGCCUAAGUCGGAUUAGCUAGUAGGUGGGGUAAAGGCCUACCAAGGCGACGAUCUGUAGCGGGUCUGAGAGGAUGAUCCGCCAAACGGGGACUGAGCCACGGCCCAGACUCCUACGUGAGGUAGCAGUGGGGAAUAUUGGACAAUGGGCGGAAGCCUGAUCCAGCCAUGCCGCGUGUGUGAAGAAGGCCUUUUGGUUGUAAAGCACUUUAAGCGAGGAGGAGGCUACCUGGAUUAAUACUCUAGGAUAGUGGACGUUACUCGCAGAAUAAGCACCGGCUAACUCUGUGCCAGCAGCCGCCGUAACAC
rnacentral:rRNA from 1 species